UCAAAGUGUAGCCAUGAGUUUCUGUAUCCAACUUUAAUUGUUCGUUUUAUUUGAAUUUUUUAUGAUUAGUAUUUUUUUAUUGUUAUUAGAUGAUAAAAUAUGAAUGAUACUUUAUACGUGAUUUAUGUUUUUAUUUUUUUAAUUUUUUUAAAUAAGAUAGACGAUUAAAAUUGGACACGAAAACUCAUGGUUGCGCUUAAA
rfam:Oryza punctata chromosome 12, whole genome shotgun sequence.